rnacentral:rRNA from 1 species
UACAGAGGUCUCAAGCGUUGUUCGGAUUCACUGGGCGUAAAGGGCUCGUAGGCGGCCAACUAAGUCGGACGUGAAAUCCCCAGGCUCAACCUGGGAACUGCGUCCGAUACUGGAUGGCUUGAAUCCGGGAGAGGGAUGCAGAAUUCCAGGUGUAGCGGUGAAAUGCGUAGAUAUCUGGAGGAAUACCGGUGGCGAAGGCGGCAUCCUGGACCGGCAUUGACGCUGAGGAGCGAAAGCCAGGGGAGCAAACGGG